rnacentral:lncRNA from 1 species
GCUUGGCCAUGUCAACGGCCAGAUUUACGUCAUCAAGUUGACCGGAUUUUUAUGGACCCCGAGUUGAAACCCUCAUGGGUGAUCAGAAAUUUGUUGGAGUUGCCACGUCAAUCCCUUCUCACCAACUUGAAUUUUCAACUAGUUUUUAAAAAUAAAUAAACUAUUGGGAUUAAAACAAAAUGGACUAAUGAAUUAGGUUCCAUGAAAAUGUUCUAAGUAAAUUAGGUUUACAAUUAGGUAUUAUAGUGCAUUUUGUGAACCAAAAACCAUCAAUUGCAUAAAUUAUGGUAUUUGGAUUUUUGAUGAAGAUUCAUUAGAAGAAGUUUUA